GAUGAACGCUGGCGGCGUGCCUAACACAUGCAAGUCGAACGGAGUUACUUUGGUGAAGUUUUCGGAUGGAUCUGAUUUAACUUAGUGGCGGACGGGUGAGUAAUGCGUAAGCAACCUGCCCUUCAGAGGGGGACAACAGUUGGAAACGACUGCUAAUACCGCAUGAUACAGUGAUCAAAGGAGCAAUCCGCUGAAAGAUGGGCUCGCGUCCGAUUAGAUAGUUGGUGAGAUAACAGCCCACCAAGGCGACGAUCGGUAGCCGACCUGAGAGGGUGAUCGGCCACAUUGGAACUGAGAGACGGUCCAGACUCCUACGGGAGGCAGCAGUGGGGAAUAUUGGGCAAUGGGCGAAAGCCUGACCCAGCAACGCCGCGUGAGGGAAGAAGGGUUUCGGCUCGUAAACCUCUGUCCUAUGGGACGAAGGAAGUGACGGUACCAUAGGAGGAAGCCCCGGCUAACUACGUG
rnacentral:rRNA from 1 species